GCUUCUGUGUCUAAAAGCUUCCAAAAAGUCUGCAGUAAUUUUGGUUCUGCACCGAUUCAUUUAAAAAAUAAAAUAUGUAGUUAUAAAAGGAAAAAUGGCAUAAAAUUCUGCCGUGUUCAUUUUCUCGGACUUUUCUUUGACAGCGCUGAUGACCGUAUCGUUUCCGGGGUCUGUGAUUGCAGAGGACAUAAAACAACCACUUAAACUCUGAAAAACAGUGGGAUCUGCAGGAAAGAACGCCUACACGUCCACCACUCAGCACCGUGUUCUGCAGCCCUUGAUGGACGGAAUCGGGCGGAUUUUAAUUGAUUCAACCAGGGUGCUCAUACUCAGAGAGGCAGCGGCCCACCUCUGGGAUGUCACUGCUGAAGAUCACAGAGGGAGGUGUCGGCUCACUGGCAGAGAGAGCCCCUUCCCAAAGGAGCGUGCUGUUUUGCCUUUAAGUUUUGGGUUGAGAUAA
rnacentral:lncRNA from 1 species